rnacentral:rRNA from 1 species
GGGCCCGCACAAGCAGUGGAUUAUGUGGUUUAAUUCGAAGCAACGCGAAGAACCUUACCAGGUCUUGACAUCUCCUGCAUAGCCUAGAGAUAGGUGAAGUCCUUCGGGACAGGAUGACAGGUGGUGCAUGGUUGUCGUCAGCUCGUGUCGUGAGAUGUUGGGUUAAGUCCCGCAACGAGCGCAACCCUUGCCAUUAGUUGCUACGCGAGAGCACUCUAAUGGGACCGCUACCGACAAGGUGGAGGAAGGUGGGGAUGACGUCAAAUCAUCAUGCCCCUUAUGACCUGGGCUACACACGUAAUACAAUGGCCAUCAACAGAGGGUCGCAAUACCGCGAGGUGGAGCCAAUCCCUAAAAAUGGUCUCAGUUCGGAUCGCAGGCUGCAACCCGCCUGCGUGAAGCUGGAAUUGCUAGUAAUCGCGGAUCAGCAUGCCGCGGUGAAUACGUUCCCGGGCCUU